GCGAACGGGUGAGUAACGCGUGAGCAAUCUACCUUAGUUACAGGGAUAGCCCGAGGAAACUCGGAUUAAUACCUGAUAUCCUUUAUAUUUCGCAUGAAAUUAAAAGGAAAGGUCAGCCGAACUAAGAUGAGCUCGCGUUCUAUCAGCUAGUUGGUGAGGUAAAAGCUCACCAAGGCUACGACGGAUAGCUGGUCUGAGAGGACGAUCAGCCACACUGGGACUGAGACACGGCCCAGACUCCUACGGGAGGCUGCAGCAGGGAAUAUUGCGCAAUGAGCGAAGGCUUGACGCAGCGACACCGCGUGUGGGAUGACGGAUCUAGGUUUGUAAACCACUUUCAGGAGGGAAGAAAAUGACGGUACCUCCACAAGAAGCCCCGGCCAACUACGUGCCAGCAGCCGCGGUAAUACGUAGGGGGCGAGCGUUGUCCGGAUUUAUUGGGCGUAAAGAGCUCGUAGGCGGUUCAACAAGUCGGUCGUGGAA
rnacentral:rRNA from 1 species